CUCUUGGCCCUGCCUCAGUAUACCACUGAGCAUAAGUACAAACUCUGGAUGUUGAUCAGCCUCCCUUCCAUUACUCUGUUGUGUCUUCUCCUUCCUUGACUCCCAGAAGUCCACCAUGUAGGCCACACUGAUGAACCACACUGAUUCACAACUGUUGCCAGGUGAUGGCAAUAAAUAGACUAUGGAACUUGCUGGAAGGUCUCUAUGUGCUGUGUAUAAGUUUCAUCACACAACCCGUCAAUAAUGCCAGGAGUUACAGUGACUUCUAAGUUGGAAGCUGAAUUUGUUUUAUUUGCUUGCUACCAAGGUAAAGUUUGUUUGAACCAACUUAAUAGCAAAAUGCACUUGCUAUUUUCAAGACUUGGCCUUUUGGGGUGAUGGUGUGACAUCACAGGUACAGCUUCCACGUGCAAGAGCUCUGGAGAUGAGGUCGUUCUGGUGGGAGCAGGGUUGUAUGGAUCACUCUCAGUCCUUUCUCUGUUGUUUUUUCAUUCGCUUUGACCUGCAUGUGAUGAGAGCACCCCUGCACGUAAGGCUUGGUGAACUGCAGACAGUGCCGUGUCCUUGGAGCACUUCACGGCAAAACAACGGAUGGAAGUGAUGGAUAAAUCCACAUCAGGUGGGCUGGAAGAAGGGGCUAUAACUUGAAGUCUCCUUGGCAGGGAGAGACACUGUAAAUUACCCAAGAAGGGCAAAAUCUACCCCAAAGUAUCUGUGGGAGCUGAGGAGAUCAAAGCUGUGAGGAACAGCCCACUACAUGCUUGGCUGAAGAUUCAUGCGUGCAUCUGAACACCACCAUCCUCUACCAUUAAACCACGUGUCCAGCAAACCCUGGGACUCUGCAGCCCAGGCAGCUCAGCUCAGAAAGGACAAUUUCAAAAGUAUAGGUGGUUUAAAAUGAUUACUGCAAGGAGCAGAGCUGACAAACAGGUGAAAGGACAGUUGUUGAAAAAGCAUGUACUUCUUUGUCAGCAAUGAAAAGUAAAACUUGACAAGUGGA